UACAGAGGUCUCAAGCGUUGUUCGGAUUCAUUGGGCGUAAAGGGUGCGUAGGCGGCGCGGUAAGUCGGGUGUGAAAUCUCGGAGCUUAACUCCGAAACUGCAUUCGAUACUGCCGUGCUUGAGGACUGGAGAGGAGACUGGAAUUUACGGUGUAGCAGUGAAAUGCGUAGAGAAUCGUAAGGAAGACCAGUGGCGAAGGCGGGUCUCUGGACAGGUUCCUGACACUGAGCACGAAGGCCAGGGGAGCAAACGGG
rnacentral:rRNA from 1 species